UCAUAGUCAGAAAAGUAGGCAGGACUGUGUAGAGCUACUUCUGGUAACAAACGUCCAGUUUUGCCGUUGCAGUGGAUUUUGUGUUACUUCCUCAUUUAAUAUCGUUUUUCGAGUAUAAAAAAACCCCUCACAUCUGAGGAACUGCCUUUCUUUUUUGACCUUGUGAGAAGUUAAGAUAAGUUAUCAUGUCUUCAAUAAGGUACAAAUGUCAAAGUUUUAUGCAAGGACUACAUGAUUGUCUAUCAUUCUUUGAUUAACUGCUAUUUAGAGUCAUCAUACUUUCAUAAGUUUGAAAGAAAAAAACGGAAGAAAAAGUCAAAAAUUUCCCCUGGAAUAAAAGACUCCUUUUAACUUCACUUUUAUGCAACAAAGAUGGCUGGAACUCUGACUUUUCUUCUCAUUAGUUCUCUGCUGCAGGGUGCACUGUGUGGAAUAUGGGAGGUCAAAAUGCCACCGAAAAUAAAUGUUUUAAGAGGAUCCUGUGUGACCAUCCCCUGCUCCUUUGAUGUACACAGCAAAUUUGAAAAUAACUUAGAUGAUACAUGUAAAGCAUAUUGGAUCGGUAAAAAUCUAAAACUAACUGCAACUAAAAAUAUGACAGGAGAUUUAACAAAGAAAGACUGCACCACAACUUUCAAAAAUGCAAGUCUUCUUCAAACUGCGAAAUACUACUUCAGACUGGAGUGUAAUAAUGCACUGAAAUACAUUUUUCCUGGUGGUGUACAUAUUUCUCUCAUAGAUGAUCCUCCCUCUCCGACUCUGACUCCAUCCACACUGGAGGUGAAGGAGGGAACCUCAGUGAGUCUGACGUG